UUAAUACUGGAUAGAUCAAAGAAACUGGAAUGUUCUCUGGUUUAAAACUCCGGUGCCCAAGGAUGGGUCUGCGGCCUAUCAGGUAGUAGUGGGUGUAACGUACCUACUAGCCAGCGACGGGCAAGGGUUGUGAGAGCAAGAUCCCUGAGAUGGAUUCUGAGACAUGAAUCCAGGCCCUACGGGGUGCAGCAGGCGCGAAAACUUUACACUGCGGGAAACCGCGAUAAGGGGACCCCGAGUGCCAGCACCUAGUGCUGGCUGUCCAGUUGUCUAAAUAACAGCUGUUAGCAAGGGCCGGGCAAGACCGGUGCCAGCCGCCGCGGUAACACCGGCGGCCCGAGUGGUAACCGUUUUUAUUGGGUUUAAAGGGUCCGUAGCCGGCUUAUUAAGUCUCUUGGGAAAUCUGGCGGCUCAAUCGUCAGGCGUUCA
rnacentral:rRNA from 1 species